rnacentral:lncRNA from 1 species
AAAAAUCUAUACAUGUCUUGAGAUCAUACUCACACUCUAUAUGUUUCAAAGUAUUGUACAUAAACAUAACGAUCAAGAUAAAGGCAUGAACAUGAUACAUCAAACAGUGAAAACCAGGAGCAUCCUCAUCAUUCUCCCAUCGCAUCCUCUUUUCCCACCAUCCAAUCCUUAUCUCAGAUUACACACGCAAAGACUUCACCUUUAUACCCCAAAAAACACCAACUAACCAAUCCGCUAUCUUUUCCACACAAUAUCUACUACCGCAACCAAAUUCUUUGGUAAAAUAUAUUUGCUUCUUCUGUAAAUCAGUGAUGGCUUAAUAAUAACCAUCAAGCUAUAUCAGUCUACUCCGACUAAAACCCUACAACAUACCAAACAGGGAUACAAAGCAGGAAGCUUGAAGAAACCAGUAUCAGAUCAGAGAUAACAUAUCCAAACUGAAGAAGAUGAACACACGUACCAAUAUCAGUGUUAACAAAUUUAGCGAGAAAAAGCUAAAACAACAAAGAGUGUGAAAAGCUAAAACAACAAAGAGUGUGGUCAUACGGUUGAAGAUUUCAAGCGAGGAGCUGAUUCCUGAAACUAAACGAAGAAAGGAAAAAAAAAGGAAAAUUCAAUUUAGACCAUUAACACCUCGACAGAAAUCGAGAAUCUUAAAAAGAUGAUAACCCUAUAAGGGUCUGAUUAAUAUCAGAGAGAGAGAGAGAGUGAGAGAGAGAUUGGAAGCUUAUGGAAUGAGAGCCGUCAAAGUUAGAUCCUUAGUUUUUAGAUGCUGAGACAUAUCUCUAUAGCAGAACGAUCUUCUUCUGGUAUUCGGACACAUAAGGGCAUCUUCUCAUUGUUCUCUUCCCUACUACGACGCUGCCGAGCUGAUUGAUCUUCAAUGUCUGUCGAGAAAGUAUUAAAUUGUUUGUAUGAACAGAGGAAUGUUUGAGUAAACAUGAGGCUCUAAGAUCCUUCAAUCAUAUAUAGACACUUUAGAAUUUCGGCUUAGCAUAUGGAUUCUUUAUCUAUCUCGAGUGUGCAAGUCCUUGCAGGAUAUGUUCAAUGCAAGCUAGCCAAUCA